AUGUGGAGAAAAGAAUUGGGGCCUACUUGAGCCCAAUCCAACAAGAACCUCAGCGGCCCAUAGAAGUCAGGACCUGGUAGCUUGCCAAAAGGUUAAUAUACACGGAUCCACUUGCACCAUUCCCACGUGUGAAGGAAACCUAGCAGCUGCCUAUUUAAGAAACUUUUAGCACCUCGCCGUUUCCUAUCAACCUCUCUCUCUAGAUUUUCCUUGCAAUCUCGAGCCCAGCGCCGCGCCAAUACCUACAAACCCUAGCUGCUCAGUGCCUCAAUCCUUCGCUUCCAUUUCUCUCCCAGCCCUCUCUCUCUCCAACUACCUUGGCUAAAGCUAGUAGAUAGCUAGUAGAUAGGAAGCCGCCACUAAGUUCUUAUGUGUGAGCGUAGGAGACUAACAGGUCUCUUCUCAAAGCAUUUGAAGAGUCAAGGACUCCUAUCACUGCAUUUUCCGAAAAUAAUGCAUCUUCAACGUGGUGUUUGGAUGGACGUUUUAAGAUCCUACAAAAUUUUCAUUUCUUUGAAAGUAUUUGUACAAGGUGAAUCACUCGGAAGUACAAAAUCAGAGGAAAUUUUUGGUACUUCUCGUACUUUUGAGGGGUUCAUCUUGUUGUAAGAUCUUAAUAAGUUCAUCCAAACACCAUAUUGAGGAUGCAUAGUUUUCAGAAAAUACAAUGAUACAAGUCUUUGAUUCCUCUCUUGGAAGCUCAUUGUCAUCUAUGAAGGUUUUCAUCCCCUUCUGAACCAAAUUUGCUAUACAAAUGGUCUGUAAGUUGUAGCAUGUAUUUCAUCUUAAGCUCCGACAUGUAUCGUAUCGCCAUGAAUAGGUAAUGGUGCGGUGGUGAUAAUAUACUGCAGGCUAAAUCAAUUGGGAAUGGCAUGCGUACUUGGCUUAUUGAUACGUCGAUUUUAUAUUAUAUAUCUAAUCAUAUUCUUAGGAUGUUUUGAUAAUUAUUUUAGUGAAAUUUUGAUACUUUAAUUAUUAAUUUAGGACUUGUGAUUUUUUUUUUUUGUGAGCAAAAAAUGAUCAAACGGAUGAAUUUUGGAGUGAUUCUUAUUGAUGGAUGUUUGUGAGUCCUUCAACUGGUUUGUGUUGAAGUUUCAGAUUUUUCUACCUUAACUUAUGGCGAGGAAAUAAAGAACUAGCGUGCGGUGCUGACAAAGUGGCGUUUUGAGUUUAUUGGGGCUUUUUGGCCUCCAAAAAUAGUGUCUUUUGGGUUCAGGUCUUUCUGCAAAUAUGUUCAGGACAUCUAAACUUUAAAAAGAGACAUCUGGGGCCUAUUUUGAAGCUGAUUUAGGGCAUGGACGUGGUUGUUUGGUUGCUGGCAGAUUUUAUCAACUAGGGAUUUUGUUUCCUAGUUUCUCCUUAUUUUUUUUUGUUUCCUAGUUUCUCUUAAUUUGUUUUGUUUCCUAGUUUUUAGAAUACCUUUUUCUAAGAAGAAUAUAAAUUGUAGUAGUAUAAAUAAAGGGGCCGGCCUAGGAAUUCUCUUCACAACUUAGGAUUGCCGAAGCUCUGGCUAAUUGAAGACUUAAUUGUGUUUUCACUCUUUUUCUAUUUGAAUAAACUUCCUUUGUAUUUUAAUUAUCAAUAUGCAUAACUAACUCUCUUUUGUUAGGGCGAAGUCAUGAACCUUAGCAUGAAUAUGUAGUCUUUAUUUAAUUGCUUAUGAUAUAAUUAUGCAUGCAUAUUUUGAAUUAAUAAUCAUUGUGUUUAAGCUGUCUUUAUAUCAUAAUGCUUAGCUACCAUUAGAGUGUUUGGAUAAGUAAUCGGAUACAAUUUCUGUUGGAAUGUCACUGUGAAAUUGAGAAUGCUUCUUGUCAUUGAUAAUUGUAAGUGCACUUAGGGUGAAAGUCACAUCUUAAGGGUUGCAUGAUUUUUCGAAUGGUUUUCACAAAGCGUAAUGAGUCAUGCAUUCACAUUUAAUCUGAAUAUUACAGAUGCAUUGCAUGUUUGAUAUAUGUUCUAUCUUGAAUGACACAAGUAGAAUAUACAUUAGGAAAACUUAACCUUCAAAGUUGUAUGUGUAAUUUUAAAGGUAUGAUUUUGUUUUUGCUAAAGUUAGGUUUACCACCUUCUGGUUUGGGAAUUUCAUUUGUUUUCCUUGUGAGAAUACACACCUCCACCAAUGUCUAUAUAUAGUGUGCAGUUGCAGAAAGAUGAGUGUGCGGGUGCAAAGCCAAGAGCUUGUGCCUACCAACAUAGCACCAAAGAAUGCAUGACAUGCAGAGAGAAGCUCUCCUAUCCGAUCAAGCCAUGACCAACACACACACAGUUGUCAAAUAAGUAAGGAUAUUCCUAAGAGAAGUCACCUAUCUUUACAUUUCUUAAAAAAUUAUGCAUCCUCAACAUGGUGUUUGGAUGUGCUUUGUUAAGAUCCUUCGAUUUACAAAAUUUUCAAAGAAAAAGAAAUAUUGGCAAAUUUGUUACAGGGUGAAUCAUUCGGAAGUACAAAAAAUCAGAGAGAAAUUUUUCGUAGUUCUGGUUUCAUACUUCUGAGGGAUUCACCUUAUAAAAGUCAUAGGAAAAAAAUUUGUUGCUUUAAAUAUUCUUUACACUAUGAUCUUGGCAAAUUCAAUCCAAACAUUAUCUUGAGGAUGCAUAGUUUUUAGAAAAUAUAAUGAUACAAGUCUUUGAUUCCUCAAUUGCUUUUAGAAGCUUUGACGGUGAUCUCUCUGCUCUUUUUGGAAGCUCAUUAUCAUCUAUAAAGGUUUUAAUCCCCUUCCGAACCAAAUUGCUAUACAAAUGGCUGAAAGAGUUGGGAAUGGCAUGCGUACUCAACUCAUCAACGACUCUCUUCUUGUACGAACAUGUUGAGGCUCUUCCUUAACUGGAGUCCAAUAUUCCUGCUACCUUUGACGGGAAUGCAAACUCAAAGGACAUGGUGAAAAAACAAUUGCUAGUUCAGUGUCAGUUCGAAGGAACGAAAGGUGAUUUUGCCUUACCUUGUAAUAAAGUUGAAAAGAGUUGAAGGGUGGAUUGGUUGUUCCCUUACUUUUUCUUCUGUGGACUUACCUUCAUGUAUAAGCUGUAUGUUCAUUGAUACGCACAUUUAUAAUUGUAAUCUAUUUGUUCACAUGUUUA